AGAGAGGAAGAGCGCCAGAUGUCAGGCCCAGAACAAAGACCUGGAGAAGAGGCUGGGCGAUAAGGAUGCACAGUGCUCUGGACUCAGGACCGAUAUGACAAUCUGCAAGAUAAGCUUGGUUCUGCAAUGAAUAAACUGGACAAUGUAACUGGAUACAACGACAAACUCGUUCUUGAGGUAUGGACCCUGACUAAUGAGGUAGACGAUCUAAAGAAGAGAACUGUGACUUCUGCAACUAAGAUCAAUGGUGAGUAUCCCUGUUGCCGCGCAUUAUUCAUGGCAAAUCAUGUUUGUUUUGAAAGAUAUACAUAUGUUAGCAUUGAUCCUGUCA